AAGGUAGCGAAAUUCCUUGUCGGGUAAGUUCCGACCUGCACGAAUGGCGUAACGAUGGCCAAACUGUCUCCACCCGAGACUCAGUGAAAUCGAAAUCGCUGUGAAGAUGCAGUGUUCCCGCGGCUAGACGGAAAGACCCCGUGAACCUUUACUAUAGCUUUACGCUGAAUUUUGAGUAUUUUUGUGUAGGAUAGGUGGGAGACUUUGAAACUUGGGCGCCAGCUCAGGUGGAGUCAUCCUUGAAAUACCACCCUGAAAUACUUGGAAUUCUAACCUCGACCCAUUAUCUGGGUUAGGGACAGCGUAUGGUGGGUAGUUUGACUGGGGCGGUCUCCUCCCAAAGAGUAACGGAGGAGCGCGAAGGUAACCUCAGCACGGUCGGAAAUCGUGCAAUGAGUGCAAAGGCAUAAGGUUGCUUGACUGCGAGUCAGACACGACGAGCAGGUACGAAAGUAGGUCUUAGUGAUCCGGUGGUUCUGUAUGGAAGGGCCAUCGCUCAACGGAUAAAAGGUACUCCGGGGAUAACAGGCUGAUUCCUCCCAAGAGUCCACAUCGACGGAGGAGUUUGGCACCUCGAUGUCGGCUCAUCACAUCCUGGGGCUGAAGCAGGUCCCAAGGGUAUGGCUGUUCGCCAUUUAAAGUGGUACGCGAGCUGGGUUUAGAACGUCGUGAGACAGUUUGGUCCCUAUCUGCCGUGGGCGUUGGAAAUUUGAAGGGGGCUGCUCCUAGUACGAGAGGACCGGAGUGGACGAACCUCUGGUGUUCCGGUUGUCACGCCAGUGGCAUUGCCGGGUAGCUAUGAACGGACAGGAUAACCGCUG
rnacentral:rRNA from 12 species